AGAGACAAAGAGAGAGAGCUUUGUUAUUGUUAGGGAGGCAAGGAAGGGAUUUUUAUCCCGCCUUAGUUGUCCCAUGGAUGUAAAAGAGAUAAAAGAGAUAAAGAAAAAAAUGUGAGGAGACAAAAGAAAAUUAGUCGAAUUACCGAUUAAUAUUCUUUUGAUCGUCCUUUUAUUGGAAGAACAAUGCAAUGUUCGAAAAUAAUUGAAAAAUGAUUCUAUCCAAGUUGAAUCUUUCUAUUUGGUCAAAUUAGACCAAAUUGAGAUUUAAUCACAUUAGACAUUUUUUAUGUGAUUUAUGACUAAGAAUUUGACAAAUAAAAGAUGCAUUAGAAAUUUUCUAAGUGAUGAAUUUG
rnacentral:lncRNA from 1 species